rnacentral:rRNA from 1 species
AUUGAACGCUGGCGGCAAGCCUAACACAUGCAAGUCGAACGAGUGGCGGACGGGUGAGUAAUGUCUGGGAAACAGCCUGAUGGAGGGGGAUAACUACUGGAAACGGUAGCUAAUACCGCAUACCAUCGGAUGUGCCCAGAUGGGAUUAGCUAGUAGGUGGGGUAAAGGCUCACCUAGGCGACGAUCCCUAGCUGGUCUGAGAGGGUGACCGGCCACACUGGAACUGAGACACGGUCCAGACUCCUACGGGAGGCAGCAGUGGGGAAUAUUGCGCAAUGGGCGCAAGCCUGAUACAGCCAUGCCGCGUGUAUGAUGAAGGCCUUCGGGUUGUAAAGUACUUUCAGCGGGGAGGCGUUACCCGCAGAAGAAGCACCGGCUAACUCCGUGCCAGCCGCCGCGGUAAUUC